rnacentral:misc_RNA from 1 species
UCGUAACAAGGUUUCCGUAGGUGAACCUGCGGAAGGAUCAUUAGUGAAUUGCUCUUUGAGCGUUAAACUAUAUCCAUCUACACCUGUGAACUGUUGAUUGACUUCGGUCAAUUACUUUUACAAACAUUGUGUAAUGAACGUCAUGUUAUUAUAACAAAAAUAACUUUCAACAACGGAUCUCUUGGCUCUCGCAUCGAUGAAGAACGCAGCGAAAUGCGAUAAGUAAUGUGAAUUGCAGAAUUCAGUGAAUCAUCGAAUCUUUGAACGCAACUUGCGCUCUCUGGUAUUCCGGAGAGCAUGCCUGUUUGAGUAUCAUGAAAUCUCAACCAUUAGGGUUUCUUAAUGGCUUGGAUUUGGGCGCUGCCACUUGCCUGGCUCGCCUUAAAAGAGUUAGCGUAUUAACUUGUCGAUCUGGCGUAAUAAGUUUCGCUGGUGUAGACUUGAGAAGUGCGCUUCUAAUCGUCUUCGGACAAUUCUUGAACUCUGGUCUCAAAUCAGGUAGGACUACCCGCUGAACUUAAGCAUAUCAAUAAGCGGAGGAAAAGAAACUAACUAGGAUUCCCUUAGUAACGGCGAGUGAACCGGGAAAAGCUCAAAUUUGUAAUCUGGCUGUCUUCGAUAGUCCGAGUUGUAAUCUAUAGACGUGUUUUCCGUGCUGGACCGUAUCUAAGUCCCUUGGAACAG